rnacentral:rRNA from 1 species
CCCUUAGAUGUUCUGGGCCGCACGCGUGUUACACUGAGUGGAUCAGCGGGUCAGGUUGCGCGAAAGUGUUUCCUAAUCUUGAAAUCCGCUCGUGAUGGGGAUUGACGGUUGCAAUUUUCCGUCAUGAACGAGGAAUACCUUGUAAGCGCGGGUCAUCAUCCCGCGCUGAAUACGUCCCUGCCCUUUGUACACACCGCCCGUCGCUCCUACCGAUUGAGUGGUCCGGUGAGGCUUUGGGAUCUGAGCGGAAAGAGCGUUUCGCUGUUUCUGCUCGGAAAACUCAGUCGAACCUUAUCAUUUAGAGGAAGGAGAAGGCGGAACA